rnacentral:rRNA from 1 species
AUGACAGCAUCAUCACCACCACAUGACACAAAGCAAUUAGGAACGCAAAGAGAAAAAGAAAAAGGAAACCCAAAGAAAAAGGUUAUUUUGUCAACAGAAGGGGAGGAGAAGAAAAGCUCCACCCGUCGUGCGCCGGGGUGCCCGCGUGCCUGCCUGCCUUCUUCAGCCCCCCACCCCCCCUCUUCUCUCCAACGGCGACGAGCGAAUCGCGUGAAUGAGAUGAGAUGGGACUGGGAGACGCCGGCGACGGAAGCGGAGGCGGAGGCGUUGCAGGAGCGCAUCUGGGACCUCCACGACAAGCUCAGCCACGCCAUCCUCGCCCUCUCCGCCUGCGCCGGCCUUCCGGCCUGCCGCUGCCGGGGCGCCCCCAACGGCCACGUAAUCCUCAAGGGGCAGCGGCCGCCGCAGGGGGGAGGGCACGUCGACCUUGCCGCGGCGGCGGCGGCCAUGGCGGACGCGCGGGGCCUGCACGCCAUCCGCACCGCGCUCGAGGACCUUGAGGGCCACCUCCACUUCCUUCGCGAUGUUCAGUCACAACAGCGUGCCGAUCGAGAUGCCGCGAUUGCUAGGGUGCAGCAAAGUCGUAUUCUCCUUGCUGCAAGGUUGGCUGAACAUAGAGGAAAGGGGCAUGGAGUCAUUGAGGAAGCCUUGGGUUUUGUGGGUGAUGUGCGUGACAAGAGCCAUUUUGUCUCGCCCGAAGAUGUGUAUGGGAUGCACAGCCAAUCAGGGGAAGAUGAGGAGGAUCGCAGGGGGCAUGGUUCAAACAUGGUGGUGCGUGUGGUAUCCUGCAGUUUUGCUUUAGCCAAGAACAUUUUAAGAUUCGAGACGAUGGGUAGUGUGCUGGGUAAUGCUACUGUGUUUGCAGUAAGUAUGCUCACAUUCUUGCAGCUUCAUCAAUUGGCCUCUGGUAAACAAAUGCCAGCGGUCCAGUAUAGGAGAACCGACAAUGUUUCUCUCUCUGGAGGGUCAAGAAAAGACACUAAAGGAAAGCAUCUGGAAGUGUUAUUAGCUAGAGGUUGA